UGUUAGAGUUUUUCAUGUCAUCGACAACUCUGCGUCACUAGUAGAUUGGGGUGUUUGGCUGCCACCCUUGUCUCCGCCGUGGCCAUCCUCCUCUUCAUCUGUUCCACAACGUCCAUGGCUUAAACAAGGUACAGCUCGUGGACGCCAAGGAGAAUGAUGCCUUAGACUAGUCUGAGAAGCCAUCGCUGCCCUUGGAUGUUCCCGCCGACAAAGACGGGCACAUGGUGACACAAGAUUGGGCUACUCAGCCAACGAUAAGUGGCGGUGUACUUCAUCACAGCCUUCCGUUUUCGAAAACAUCAGUCAAUCCUUCGUUAAGUGAGCAUAAUGGACAUCAAUGACCCAACCAUGCCCAUAAUGGCCAUACAGUACAACAAGGCAUCCUCGUUGGUC